rnacentral:tRNA from 1 species
AUUUAAAUAGUUUAAAAAAAAUUUUAACUUGUGAUGUUAAAGAUAUAAUUAGUUUAUUUUAAAUU